GAAAAAUUAUAGUUAGCUUGUGUAUCAAAUGCUUUGUUAUUUAUUUAGCUUGAAUUUUUUUUUAAAGAAUAUGAAUUCUGUCAAAUGCACAGAUGCUUUGAUAUUCAAUAUAUUGGAAUUCUUUGUCGGGUAUAUGAAUUGAACUUGCUCAGAUGGUGUUUGGUGAAAUGCAUGACAAGAAUUUUUUUUCGUGGAUUGUUAUAAUUAAUGGGUACUAAAAAUGUGGAAAGGUUGAGAAUAGAAUUUGAGUAAAGGUUUAAUGCCAAUGAGUAAGGUAAGGAAUUUGUUCUUGGGGUUUUUAUGUGCAGUUGGUUUGUCUGGUGCUUGGUUAUGCGAUCUUUGUCAGAUGAUAUGGAGUAAGAAGAAAGAAGACUGCAAUAAGGCAAGGGAUCCUACAGUUUGGGUACACCGGAAGUUGAGCUCAUACAAGAAGAUUCAUCCCACACGAAUAAUGUAACCAGUGCAGAUGAAGUUGGCCAAGACUUUGGGAGCUGGAUUCGAAAUGAAAUUGGAGGGGAAGAGGUGAUUAGAAGUACAACUAACGGUGAUAAAGGCGAUCUAAAUAAUGACAGUGAUAGUGAUCACAGUGAUUAUUUUAGUGUUUGUGAACGAAAGACCUGGGGAGCAGCCUGGCAGACCUCAGGACCUGCGGAGACGCUUUACAUAUCAAGGACCAACUGAACAGACCUCGAAAUGAUUCAGGUACGCGGGGAACAGGAGCAGACCAAGUUUGAAUUAUUAGGUUUCUUUAGUUUUGAUUGUGUAAUUUUUUUUUGUUUCCUUAUGGUUAAGUGGGAUUUUAUAUGCCUCGUGACAACUACUUUUAUUUAAUGGAACUUAAAUCCUUUCUUUGGAUUAACUUUA